UCUGGAAUAGCUCAUUCGGUAGAGCGUCAGAUUCGAGAUCUGAAGGCCGCGGGUUCAACUCCCGCUUCCAAAA
rnacentral:tRNA from 1 species